ensembl:lncRNA
GGUGAAGUAGGGCCCUGUCACCCUCCUCCUCCUGGCCUGGCUUCAUUCUUCUUCACUGCACUUACUGUCACUUGCAGUUUUAUGUCACAAAUUAUUUAUUUAUUCCACCCCUCCAACCCAGCACCCCCUAGAUGUGAGCUCCAUGAGCUCAGGGAGGGUCUGUCUGGUUCACUUGCCUAGAACAGUACCUGGCACAAACUCAACAAUUUUUUGUGGAAUGAACGAAUGAACAAAAGGAGUCAGGCAGUAGAGGAGGAAGUUUAUGUUUAUGGGGGAAAGUUUGGUGUGAAGACAAACUUAUCAAGGGCAAGCUAAAUAGAUCAUUCUAGGCGGAGGAGGGGAGUGAGAAGUAAUUUAGAAAUGAGAAGGGGCGGGGCCAUCAGGUACAGCCAUGCGGUCUGGCACAUGCGUUGGACGGUGAAUGGUGCCCCCUCCAGUUGUACAGUUCUCAACUUGGACAACAGUACGCGGCGCCCCUGGGGCUAGGGAAGAACACAACAGUUUUGGCCCCCUCAGCUGGGUCCUAGAGAGUGAGGGAGCCUGAGUGGAGGCAGCUCUACAGGUGCCUGCUGCAGGAGGAACAGGCUGUACCCUCCACGAGGACGCCACGUGGUCGCGGUCAGCAGUCUGCCAUCCGGUGGCGUUGUUUCCAUAGACAGCUCAACCAGGGGCAGCAACAGUGCUGCUGUUAACAAUCGCUGGUACCUGGAGCGCCCAGCGGGACACAGGUGGGGAAAUCACCCUGACACACCCCACAAACACACACCAAACGCUGUGGCCAAAGAUAAUCACAGCAGCGGAGGGAGGACUGUUUCCUGAGCCAGCAGUGUGCGCAGGAGGCAGAGGACACUGUGUUCUGAGACCUCUCCACCGAGCAGAGGACUCGCAGGGCUUGUCGGGCAGUGUUAUCAGCUCCUCUGCUUACUUAAUUCCUUGGUUGACAUCACCACCGCCUCCGUCUUCUCCUUCUCUGCGCUGGAGCCUGCAGCCUGGUACAUCCUGCAAGGAAAGGCGGUGGAGGUCUCUCAUUGGCCAGAAGCUACCAGGGCAGGUUUGUCCUCUUGGAACUCUCUCAGGGAGGCAGCCACCAAACGGUAAAGAAGCGUGGGCAGACCAAUGAACGACAAGGCAGCAUCUGGAGAGAGAGAGAGGCCACGUGGAGGAGCUGAGACACUAGAUAUUUUAGUGAAGACUUCUUGGCCUUACCAGCCUUGCCCAGGUGAAGGAGUGAUGCAAGCUGAUGCAGAAGAACCACUCAGCGGAGCCUCACCCAAAUUCCUGAUCCACAAAGUCCUGAGACUUUUUGCUGUUUUAAGCCUCUAAGUUUUGGGGCAGUUUGUUACACAGCAAUAGAUAACUGAGAUGCUUGUAGUAGGUGUGUAAUAAAUGUGUAUGGAAAGAAUGAAUGGCAAAUUACAAUGCCAGCUCUGGUGCUAAUCCCUUACACUGGUCCGGCAUACUCAUUAAGCCUCAAUCACAUCUAUUUUCUGGUGUGAGUCCUGUGAUGGUUCAUUUUAUGUGUUGACUUGACUGGGCCACGAAGUGCCCAGAUAGUUGGUCAAACAUUAUUCUGGAAAGGUAUCUUUGAAUGAGAUUAACAUUUAAUUGGUAGAAUGAGUGAAGUAGGUUGCCUUCCAUAAUGUGGGUGGGCCUUAUCCAAUCAGUUGAAGGCCUGACUAAAACCAAAGGCUGACCCUCCCCUGAGCAAGAGGGAAUUUGCCUACCUGACAGCUUUCAAACUGAGGCACUGGCUUUUCCUGCUUCUACAGCAGCCUGCCAGCCUUCAGACUCCAAAUGGGACAUUGGCUCUGCAGAUCUUGGACUUGCCAGGCUCCAUAACUGCAUAAGCCAAUUCCUUAUCAUAAAUUUCUUUAUCUAUAUAGACAUAUAUAUAUAUAUAUUGGUGGAAGGUAGAACUUGUGAGUGACAACCUUGGAUGUUUAGCAGAGGAGAUUUCUAAGCAAAGGGUUAAAAAUGUGGCCUGGCUUCUCCUUACUGCUUCAAAUAAAAUGUGAGAGGAGAGAGACAAAUUGAAGGAAUUGUUAAGCAAAAAGGAACUAGAACUUGAUGAUCUGGAAAAUUCUCAGCCUAUCCAUGUUGCAAAACUGGGAAAGCACGUCCUGGAGAAAACACCAAGGGCGUGGCUGGACCAUCAUUCCAUUAAGAGAUUACCCGCAAAUUUAAUUAGCCAUCUCAGCUGAAGCCAGGAAUAGAGAUGGGAUUAUACCAGCAGAAGGACUGCCAGCUGGGACUAAACGGGAUAGAGAAAAUGGAAUGAAGGAAGGCUGUCAGAUUUCUGGGAUCUACAGGACGGGACAAUAGAGCUAUCCAGCUUCAAACAUGGUUAGCCUUCAAGAAAAGGGAAAAAAAAAAAUUGAGGCCAGCCCCGUGGCCAAGAGGUUAAGUUCGCGCUCUCUGCUUUGGCGGCUCAGGGUUUCACCGGUUCAGGAUCCUGGGCGCGGACAUGGCACUGCUCGUCAAGCAACGUUGAGGCGGCAUCCCACAUGCCACAACUAGAAGGACCCACAACGAAGAAUAUACAACUGUGUACUGGGGGGCUUUGGGGAGAAGGAAAAAUAAAAAAUAAAAACUAAAGGGAAAAAUGACCCUGAAGGUCAUUCAGAGAACAUCAGGGCUGCCACUCCCACCAUGGGCCCAGGGGACAGAGCUGUUUCCUCCUGGUCCCAGAGACUGGGCCCACUUCCUCAGUUUCAGACAGCCAGGAUGCCACCGCUCAGUGCCUCAGGGGCAAGGCCUCCUGUGCCCAGCAGAGCUGAGGGGGCAGGGCCACUGUCUAGGGCCACGGGGGACAUACUAUGCUCCCAGUGGGCACGGAGAACAGAAUAUCAUUCUGAAGAAGAUUAUUCUGGAGCUUUAAGAUCAAAUGGAAUUUGCCUUGCUAGUUUUGGACUUGCUUGGGACCUGUUACGACUUUCUUCUUUCCAAUUUCUCCCUCUCGGAAUGGCCAUGUCUCUCCUGUGCCUGUCCCACACUGUUGUGUGGAAGCACAUAACUUGUCCGGUUUCACAGGGUCACAGUGGGAGAGGAAUUCCGCCUCAGGAUGAAUCCUACCCUGAGUUGCACCCAUAUCUGAUGUAGAUGACACUGAGUGAGACGUUGGACUUGGGCUGGAUGUGGAACGGGUUAAGACCUUAGGGGCUGUUGGGAUGGGGUGGGUGUAUUUUGCAUGUGAGAAGGAUGUGAAUUUGGGGAGCUAGAUGGCAGGAGGUUAUGGACUGACUUGUGCCCCACCAAAGUUAUAUGUUGAAGCCCUAACCCCCAGUGUGACUGUGUUUGGAGAAAGGGCUUUUAAGGAGGUACUUAAGGUUGAUGAGGUCAUAAGGAUGGGGUCCUAAUCCAAUAGUAGUGAUGUCUUUAUAAGAGACACCAGAGAUCUCUCUGUCCUCAUGUGCACAGAAAAAAGGCCGUGUGACGACAAGGACACAGCAAGAAGGUGCAUCUGUGAGCCGAGGAGAGAGGUCUCACCAGAAACCAAGUCAGCUGGCACCUUGAUCUUGGACAGCCAGCCUCCAGAGCUAUGAGAAAAUAAAAUUCUGUUGUUUAAGCUGCUCAGCCUGUGGUAUUCUGUUAUGGCAGCCCAAGCAGAUGGCUACAACUCCCCACGACAACUGAUGAGUGGGCAGACAUGCAGGCUUGGACUUCCAUUCUGAAGUCCACGAAUCACUGGUUCAAUUGUUCUGGCAAUAUUGAAGUUCUACUAUGGAUCAGAUACUGUAUUAGACACUGGGUUUCAACGGCAAGCAAAAUGGUCACAAUUCCUGUCCUUGUGGAGCUCAAAGUCAUGUGAGGGAGAUGGACCUUCAUCAAACAAUUACUCAAAUAGACAUAAAAUAAUGACAGCGGUGAGUGCUAUAGAAGGAUGUCACCUAGUCAAGAAGGUCAGGGAGGGGCUGGCCCCGUGGCUGAGCGGUUAAGUUCGCGCUCUCCGGUGCAGGCGGCCCAGUGUUUUGUUGGUUCGAAUCCUGGGCACAGACAUGGCACUGCUCAUCAAACCACGCUGAGGCAGUGUCCCACAUGCCACAACUAGAAGGACCCACAACGAAGAAUAUACAACUCUGUACUGGGGGGCUUUGGGGAGAAAAAGGAAAAAAUAAAAUCUUUAAAAAAAAAAAAAAGAAGGUCAGGGAAAAGUUCUUGUUGAAGUGACACCAGACCUCAGAGAUGAAGGGUGAUUAGGAGUAAACCAGGUAAAGAAGGGAAGGAAGGGUGUUCCACGCAGAAGGAACAGCAUGUGCAAAGGAUGCUCCCACCAAGGAGGGAGUUGGUGGGCGUUCAGAGGACUGGAAGAAGGGUCCCCGACCAGAAUGGAGAGAGGAGGGGCAGCGGGACGGCGUUCAAAAAGAGGCUGAUCUCCACACUGGGCAGACCAUGGCAAGGCUUUGUCAUAAGAGCAGUCGGAAGCCACUGAGCUGCCCUAACCUGGGCAUUGGAAAGGUCACCUCUGCAUUUCCAAAAGAUGCCUGUGGCUGCUGUGUGGAGGAAGAGCUGUGGAGACCAAUGUGGAGGCUAUUUCAAGAGUUCAAGAGAGACGUGGAGGGGCUUGGACCAGAGUGGUGGCAACAGAGAUGGAAGGAAGGACUAGACUGAAGAGCUGUUUAUUAAGGAAUCCAGCCACCACACUGUGAAGAAGCCCAAACUAGCCUGCCUGGAGAGACCAAUGGAAACACCCAUGUGGAGAGGAACUGAGGCCCCCAACCUACAGUCAGCACCCACCACGAGCUUUGUGAGUGAAUGAGCCUUCAGAUUAUUCCAAAGUCCAGCCUUGGGUGCCUCCAGCUAAGGCCCUAGACAUCACAGAGCAGAGGACAUAUGCCUUUGGACCUCUGAGUUGCCAGGAGAGAAGUCCAGCUAUUCUGAAGCUGCGUGUGGGAGAGUUCGUGUGCAGAGGCCACAGAGAGACAGAGAGGAACUCCAGCUGGUCCAGCCCUACUUGUUUGAGUCCUCCCAGCCCAGGUGCCACAUAUGUGAGUGAACAAGCCACAGUCACACUCUGACUACAACUUCAUGAGACUCCAAUCCAGAACUGCCCAGCUGAGUUCCCUGUUUCCUGACCCACAGAAACUGUGAAUGGACUUGAAGAUGGAAGAGACCAUAUGGAAGGGACCUGAGAGAGUGCAGCUUCUGGGAGCUGAGACAACCAACAAGGAAACAGCACCUCAGUCUGACAACCACAGGAGCAGACUUCUACAACCCAAAAGAGCUUGGGAGCAGAUCCUUUCUCAGAGCUUCUAGACAUGAGCCCAGCCAGCUCACACCUUGAUUUUGGCCUUGCAAGACCCAGGCAGAGAAUCCAGCUGAGCCCACCCGGACUUCUCACCUGCAGAACUGUGAGAUAAUAAACGGCUGUUGAUUUAAGCUGCCAACUUUGCGGGAGUCUGUUAUGCAGCAAUAGAAAGUGAAUACACUCCUUUCUCAUUUCAUCCCGAGAAGGUCUGUGAGGAGGGUCUGAGGACUCCCCCUUUGCAGACAGGGCAGGCUAAGCGAGGUGCUCAGUUUGCACGUGUCCAGGCUGGGGCUCAGGCCCGGGUCCAGCUGAUUUGAAGGCUCUUUGCACCAUGAAUGCUUCUCUGACCUGAACAGCCACAGAUGAACCUUGGGCACUUGGCCUAAGUCAAGGGUGUCUCGUCUUCCCAUUCAGGGGAAGCAGGGAGGGCUGCAUCUUACACCCCCUUUUAUAAGAACCACCCAGCAGCUCCUUCCACGCCACAGCCUGCAGUCUGCAAAGCUGUCCCAGGCCUGCAUGCCCAGCUGAAGAGCAGAGUUCUGGCAGGAAACAGGAGAAGGGCAGUGACCUCGUCCUCCUCCUUCUCAGAUGACACGUCUGGGCUCUGUCAAGGCAAGAGGCAGGAGCUGGGAUGCAAGGAGCAAUAAAGUUUGGCUGUGGCCUUCCCCACUCCCAGUAAAAAGCAUUCUCUGACUGGCUGGGAUGGGGAUUUUUUAAUUUUAUAUUUGCUCCCAUAAUAAUUUGUUGGACACAUAGUUGAAUACCCCCGGGAGUCCAGAAAUGUUUGCAAGGAGAAAGAUUAUGUUUCUGCUUUAUUGAUUAAAAAGC